UACAGAGGGUGCGAGCGUUGUUCGGAAUUAUUGGGCGUAAAGGGCGCGUAGGCGGUGCGGUAAGUCACCUGUGAAAUCUCCUGGCUCAACUGGGAGCUUGCAGGCGAAACUGCCGUGCUGGAGUGUGGGAGAGGUGCGUGGAAUUCCUGGUGUAGCGGUGGAAUGCGUAGAGAUCCGGAAGAACACCGGUGGCGAAGGCGGUCUGCUGGGCCAAGACUGACGCUGAGGCGCGACAGCGUGGGGAGC
rnacentral:rRNA from 1 species